UCCUACGGGGCGCAGCAGUGAGGAAUAUUGGUCAAUGGGCGGGAGCCUGAACCAGCCAAGUCGCGUGAGGGAAGACGGUCCUAUGGAUUGUAAACCUCUUUUGUCGGGGAGCAAAGAGGCCACGUGUGGUCAAAAGCGAGAGUACCCGAAGAAAAAGCAUCGGCUAACUCCGUGCCAGCAGCCGCGGUAAUACGGAGGAUGCGAGCGUUAUCCGGAUUUAUUGGGUUUAAAGGGAGCGCAGACGGCAGUGCAAGUCUGGAGUGAAAGCCCGGGGCUCAACCCCGGGACUGCUUUGGAAACUGCAU
rnacentral:rRNA from 1 species